rnacentral:rRNA from 1 species
CCUACGGGGGGCAGCAGUGGGGGAUAUUGCACAAUGGGGGAAACCCUGAUGCAGCGACACCGCGUGGGCGAAGAAGUAUUUCGGUAUGUAAAGCCCUAUCAGCAGGGAGGAGGAAAUGACGUUACCUGAGUAAGAAGCACCGGCUAAAUACGGGCCAGCAGCCGCGGUAAUACGUAGGGUGCAAGCGUGAUCCGGAUUUACUGGGGGUAAAGGAGGCGCAGGCGGCACGGCAAGCCUGAUGUGAAGGCCCGCGGCCCAACCGCGGGACUGCAUUGGGAACUACCGGGCUGGAGUGCCGGAGAGGUAGGCGGAAUUCCGAGUGUAGCGGUGAAAUGCGUAGAUAUUAGGAGGAACACCAGUGGCGAAGGCGGCCUACUGGACGGUGACUGACGCUGAGGCUCGAAAGCGUGGGGAGCAAACAGGAUUAGAUACCCUUGUAGUC